AGAGGUAAGUCGUAACAUGGUAAGCAUACCGGAAGGUGUGCUUGGAACAAAGCAUAGUUUACAUAAAACCCCUUGCUUACACCAAGAAAUCACCUGUGAAACCCGGGUUGCUUUGAGC
rnacentral:tRNA from 1 species